CUUCACUUACCAGCCCUCCCAGGGGCUGAAAUCAGCAUGAGGAAGGGACACUAUUCACUCCAGGUUUACAUUUAAAAAUGGGUUUAUAGUCCACCUCUAUGUAUUUUUCCAGACGCCGUUUGCUAUGGCUGCAGCAAGACCAAUGGCAACAGCUAAAACGUUAAGAAAAAUUUCACGUCACUGAAGCUGUGGCAAGUUGGGGAAGAGGACAGGUUGGGGACACAACGAAGGAAGGACUGUUUCUCAUCUAUCAACCACCCUUUGGCAACUCAGCCAAGGCCUUGCUCCCAGCUAAUGGUGGACUGUUUCCCUGGACAAGACUUCUAUUGAUAGCUACAGCACUGCCUGUUGGAAAUAAUAAAUAAAAGACAGAAGGUUUCACA